GAUGAAGAACGUAGCGAAAUGCGAUAAGUAAUGUGAAUUGCAGAAUUCAGUGAAUCAUCGAAUCUUUGAACGCACCUUGCGCUCCUUGGUAUUCCAAGGAGCAUGCCUGUUUGAGUAUCAUUAAAAUAUCAACUGUGCCAAUUUGGUUACAGAUUGGAUGUGGGAGAUUCUUUUUGCAGGCCUUUGACUUCUCUUUGAGAAAAAAAAUAAAAGGUCGGCUCUCCUGAAAUGUAUUAGCAGUGCCUUUGUUGGUUCAUUAGGUGUGAUAAAUUGUCUACAUCUUCGCAUGAUACCUUCAUUUGUAAUGGUCAUAUUGCUUCUAAAUUGUCUUUGAUUGGACGCAAAACAUAUAUAAUGUUUGACAAACUUGAUCUCAAAUCAGGCAGGACUACCCGCUGAACUUAAGCAUAUCAAUAAGCGGAGGA
rnacentral:misc_RNA from 1 species